rnacentral:ncRNA from 2 species
AUCUGCUUGUCGGAGUGCUGAAGUGUUGAUCACAAGAAGCUGAGACCGUGAAUACGGAAUCCGUAGAACCUGAUACAGGAUAAUACCUGCGAAGGAAACAAGGUGGUCAAUUCU